UAGAGUAUUUGAAGUACCUAGAAAAUAAAUUUUAUGAUUUUUCGAUAUCAUUUGCCUAGUGAACGAAGGGGCUCAAAAUCAAUAAUUUUAAUGGUCGUGGUGAGCCGGUUGCAAGUUUAACGGUGUAGAAAUAUCCAAAUCACAUGAAAUUUUGAUAGAAAAUUCUUUAUAUCAUAUAAAACAAGAUCAAUAACUUUGAUCUAAAAUUUUAAUGUCAUAUUAUCAUAUUUCAUAAGAUUUUUAUUUUCAGCCGUUGAUUUUGAGCCACUUCGAUCACUAGGCAAAUGAUAUCGAAAAAUCGCUAAAUUUAUUUUCUAGAUACUUCAAAUACUCUAGAUCAAGUCUAACGGAGCCGAUCGUCGAUUCGAAAGUCCGAACAUCGAAAACAAAGUGGAAGCGCGGAGCUCUCCGUGCUUCCAUAAGCAUCCUAGCCGCACUAUAUCUAUACUAUAUAUAAAAACACGUAUUUCAAAUUUCGGUCUGUCGACAGACCCAUUUUUUGGCGGGAAAAAAAUUGAUUCCUCUUUCGUUACGUAAAAGAAAUAACGUAAUGAAACAAACUUUUAAUUCCUCUUUAUCUCUACAAUAGAAAAAAAUAUAUUUAUCCAAAUUUUUGCCAACCGAAAGAUAUCUAUUGUGAAUUUAAAUUUUAAUUCGAAAUUGUUUAAAUUUUUUUAUCUCUAAAAUAAAAAAAAAUUCAUGCUUAUCCAAAUUUUUGUCAGAAUAUCUAUUGUAAAUUUGUAUAUCAAUUCAAAUUUAAAAUUUAAAAUUUUGGGAUUAUCAAUAUAUUACAACGGAAAUAAUUUAAAAAAUAGAUUGGUUGAUAAAUUUGUAAAUCAUAUUUUUGAAUUAAUAUGAUGUACAAAUUUAUAAUCAAUUUGUACAAAAUUAUUUCAAAUAAAGAACGAAUGAUUAUGAUCAAUUUAUUAAAAAAAAUAUUUAUACACAUUUAUAACUUUAAUUUUACGAAUGGUUACGAUCAAUUGGUUAAAAAUAUUUUAAAUAAAAAUGAACGGUUAUGAUAAAUCUGUUAAAAAAUAGCACUUCUAUCUAUCUAUUUUACAUUAAAAUUCAAAUUUGAGUUUAAAUCCUGAAUUAAAUUUAUUUUUGAUUUUUGAUAACAAAUCUAUUCAUCUAUUUUAUAUUAAAAUUUAAAUUUGAUACUGUAGAUAUUUUCUAAUAAAAUAUUACAUAUAAUUUUACAAAAUAUUUUAUUCUAAAUUUUUGAAUAAAUAUGAUUAAAAAAUUUUUAUUAAUUUAAAAUAAAUUAAAAUAAUUAUUACGUGCAUUCGUACGUAUACUCAACUAGUAUAUAUAUAUAUAUAUAUAUAUAG
rnacentral:lncRNA from 1 species